CAGUAGCCGCGGGAAUACGGAGGGUGCAAGCGUUAAUCGGAAUUACUGGGCGUAAAGCGUGCGUAGGCGGUUCGUUAAGUCUGUUGUGAAAGCCCCGGGCUCAACCUGGGAAUGGCAAUGGAUACUGGCGAGCUAGAGUGUGUCAGAGGAUGGUGGAAUUCCCGGUGUAGCGGUGUAAUGCGUAGAGAUCGGGAGGAACAUCAGUGGCGAAGGCGGCCAUCUGGGACAACACUGACGCUGAGGCACGAAAGCGUGGGGAGCAAACAGGAUUAGAUACCCCGGUAGUCCCUGUCUCUUAUAC
rnacentral:rRNA from 1 species